rnacentral:rRNA from 1 species
UACGGGGGGGGCAAGCGUUGUUCGGAAUUACUGGGCGUAAAGGGCUCGUAGGCGGCCAACUAAGUCAUACGUGAAAUCCCUCGGCUUAACCGGGGAACUGCGUCUGAUACUGGAUGGCUUGAGUUCGGGAGAGGGAUGCGGAAUUCCAGGUGUAGCGGUGAAAUUCGUAGAUAUUCGGAGGAACACCAGUGGCAAAGGCGGCUCACUGGUCCAUUACUGACGCUGAGGUGCGAAAGCGUGGGGAGCAAACAGG